rnacentral:rRNA from 1 species
AAGGAUUCCCCUAGUAACGGCGAGUGAACCGGGAAGAGCUCAAAUUUGAAAUCUGGCAGUCUUCGAUUGUCCGAGUUGUAAUCUAUAGAAGCGUUUUCCGUGCUGAACUGUGUAUAAGUCCCUUGGAACAGGGUAUCAAAGAGGGUGACAAUCCCGUACUUUACACAAUCAUCAGUGCUCUGUGAUACGUUCUCUACGAGUCGAGUUGUUUGGGAAUGCAGCUCAAAAUGGGUGGUAAAUUCCAUCUAAAGCUAAAUAUUGGCGAGAGACCGAUAGCGAACAAGUACCGUGAGGGAAAGAUGAAAAGCACUUUGGAAAGAGAGUUAAACAGUACGUGAAAUUGUUGAAAGGGAAACGAAAUUCAUGAAUCAUGUUUAUUGGACUCAGCCGUUCUUCGGUGUACUUCCUUUAAACGGGUCAACAUCAGUUUUGUCCGAUGGAUAAAGGUAGUAGGAAGGUGGCUCUCUCGGGAGUGUUAUAGCCUAUUGCUGCAUACAUUGGAUGAGACUGAGGACUGCAGCUUGCCUUUAUGGCCGGGGUUCGCCCACGUCAAGCUAGGAUGUGA